CUCUAUGGCCAUACCACCCUGAACACGCCUGAUCUUGUCUAUCUCGGAAGCUAAGCAGGGUCGGGCCUGGUUAGUACUUGGAUGGGAAAAAGUAGGGCAAAAUGCCCCACAGC
rnacentral:rRNA from 1 species